rnacentral:rRNA from 1 species
UCUGGUUGAUCCUGCCAGUAGUCAUAUGCUUGUCUCAAAGAUUAAGCCAUGCAUGUCUAAGUAUAAGCAAUUUAUACAGUGAAACUGCGAAUGGCUCAUUAAAUCAGUUAUCGUUUAUUUGAUAGUUCCUUUACUACAUGGUAUAACUGUGGUAAUUCUAGAGCUAAUACAUGCUUAAAAUCUCGACCCUUUGGAAGAGAUGUAUUUAUUAGAUAAAAAAUCAAUGUCUUCGGACUCUUUGAUGAUUCAUAAUAACUCUUCGAAUCGCAUGGCCUUGUGCUGGCGAUGGUUCAUUCAAAUUUCUGCCCUAUCAACUUUCGAUGGUAGGAUAGUGGCCUACCAUGGUUUCAACGGGUAACGGGGAAUAAGGGUUCGAUUCCGGAGAGGGAGCCUGAGAAACGGCUACCACAUCCAAGGAAGGCAGCAGGCGCGCAAAUUACCCAAUCCUAAUUCAGGGAGGUAGUGACAAUAAAUAACGAUACAGGGCCCAUUCGGGUCUUGUAAUUGGAAUGAGUACAAUGUAAAUACCUUAACGAGGAACAAUUGGAGGGCAAGUCUGGUA